UGAAUACGAGACGCUAAGGCGUCGAAGUAGUGUAUGUCAUACUUCCAAGAAAAGCUUGCACUGUCAUAGAUAAAAAACGCCUGUACCAUAACCGACACAGGUGGGUAGGUAGAGUAUACUAAGGGGCGCGAGAUAACUCUCUCUAAGGAACUCGGCAAAAUAACUCCGUAACUUCGGGAGAAGGAGUGCCUUAUUCGUAAGGUUGCAAUAACAAGAUCCAAGCAACUGUUUAUCAAAAACACAGGUCUCCGCUAAGUCGUAAGACGAUGUAUGGGGGCUGACGCCUGCCCAGUGCCAGAAGGUUAAAGAAGUUGGUUAGCAAUUGCGAAGCUGAUAACUGAAGCCCUGGUGAACGGCGGCCGUAACUAUAACGGUCCUAAGGUAGCGAAAUUCCUUGUCGGGUAAGUUCCGACCCACGAAAGGCGUAAUGAUUUGGAUACUGUCUCGGAGAGGGGCUCGGUGAAAUAGACUUGUCUGUGAAGAUGCGGACUACCUGCACCAGGACAGAAAGACCCUAUGAAGCUUUACUGUAACUUGAAAUUGAAAUUGGACUUUAUUCGCGCAGUAUAGGUGGGAGGCGUUGAUUAUAAUCUCGUGGGAUUAUUGGAGCCAUCAGUGAGAUACCACUCUUGUAAUGUUAGAUUUCUAACUUUGAAUCAUUAUCUGGUCAAAGAACAGUUUCAGGCGGGCAGUUCGACUGGGGCGGUCGCCUCCUAAACGGUAACGGAGGCGUACAAAGGUUUCCUCUGAACGGUUAGAAAUCGUAUCUAGAGUGUAAAGGCAUAAGGAAGCUUGACUGUGAGACCUACAAGUCGAGCAGGGACGAAAGUCGGUCUUAGUGAUCUGACGGUACUGAGUGGAAAGGCCGUCACUCAACGGAUAAAAGUUACUCUAAGGAUAACAGGCUGAUCUCCCCCAAGAGUUCACAUCGACGGGGAGGUUUGGCACCUCGAUGUCGGCUCAUCGCAUCCUGGGGCGGUAGUACGUCCCAAGGGUUGGGCUGUUCGCCCAUGAAAGCGGUACGCGAGCUGGGUUCAGAACGUCGUGAGACAGUUCGGUCCAUAUCCGGUGUAGGCGUUAGAAUAUUGAGAGGAGCCUUCUUUAGUACGAGAGGACCGAGAAGGACAUACCUCUGGUGUACCAGUUAUCGUGCCAACGGUAAACGCUGGGUAGCUAUGUAUGGAGUGGAUAACCGCUGAAAGCAUCUAAGUGGGAAGCCCACCUCACGAUAAGUAUUCUC
rnacentral:rRNA from 1 species